rnacentral:rRNA from 1 species
UCCGUAGGCGGAAUAAUAAGUCAGGGGUGAAAGUUUGCGGCUCAACCGUAAAAUUGCCUUUGAUACUGUUAUUCUUGAGUACAAACGAGGUAGGCGGAAUGUGAUGUGUAGCGGUGAAAUGCUUAGAUAUGUCACAGAACACCGAUUGCGAAGGCAGCUUACUAGGAUGUAACUGACGCUGAUGCACGAAGGCGUGGGUAUCGAACAGGAUUAGAUACCCUGGUAGUCC